UGCUAAGUUUAGCUUUACAAACUUUCUAUAGCACCAAGUUUUCAACUUAUGUUUACACUUUGGAAGUACUUGACGAUUGAAAUUAUAGUAACUCAUUUAGUUAUAGCUUAUAUUACUUAUCAUUUUUCACUACCAUCACAAUUGCUAUUUCUAUUUCACCAUGAAAAUAAACUAUUCUUUUUCUUUUUUUUUAUUAAUGAAGAAUCAACUCCAACAAAUGAUAGCGUAAUCCCUGAAGAUAUUUCACCAUGAUAUUUUUUCAAGUACCAAUUUCUUAUUAUUUCUGCUUCAAGUUUAUCGUAUAACUAAGGUCGAAAAUUCAAGUUUGGGAGGAAAAUUAGGAGAGGUUAAUCCAAUUGGCAUGAAGGCAUUCAAAGAUAUAGUAGUAGAGACUCUCAGCAUCAACACAUGUCAACAUUUGAUGCAAUCCUUAACACAAGUACUUCUGCAGCUUAAUUUAUUGAAAAGGAAAAUCAAGAGUACUGAAUGGAGCGAACAAAUGUACUUAGGUCUCAUGCCGAGAAUAUCAUUCAUACAAAUUACUAAUCAGGCCUUCUGGUAAGUCAGUAUUGCUUCACGUUGGUAGGUUCUUGUAACGAUAUGUUGUAGAUAUGUAUGUUAAGAUUGAAACUGCUAGAUUAGAUUAUUUUCAUAAUAACCAAAAACAAAAUCAUGCUAAACUUUUUAAAGGUAUUGUCGAUAGUGUUCAAAAUGGGAAAACAAGAAGGGUGUAAAAUUGGACGAAAAUUUGUUUUACCACAAUCUUUUACAUGUGGUCCUCGUGACACGCUAAGGAGAUAUAUGGAUGGAAUGGUUAUUAUACAAUAUUAUGAAAAAUCAGAUAUAUUUUUAACUAUAACAUGUAAUCCAAAUUGGCCAGUGAUUAAGUA